rnacentral:rRNA from 1 species
UACGUAGGGGGCAAGCGUUGUCCGGAAUCAUUGGGCGUAAAGCGCGUGUAGGCGGCCCGGUAAGUCCGCUGUGAAAGUCGGGGGCUCAACCCUCGGAUGCCGGUGGAUACUGUCGGGCUAGAGUGCGGGAGAGGCGAGUGGAAUUCCUGGUGUAGCGGUGAAAUGCGCAGAUAUCAGGAGGAACACCAAUUGCGAAGGCAGCUCGCUGGAACGUUACUGACGCUGAGACGCGAAAGCGUGGGGAGCAAACAGG